rnacentral:rRNA from 1 species
GACGAACGCUGGCGGCGUGCUUAACACAUGCAAGUCGAACGGAAAGGCCCUGCUUUUGUGGGGUGCUCGAGUGGCGAAAGGGUGAGUAACACGUGAGUAACCUGCCCUUGACUUUGGGAUAACUUCAGGAAACUGGGGCUAAUACCGGAUAGGAGCUCCUGCUGCAUGGUGGGGGUUGGAAAGUUUCGGCGGUUGGGGAUGGACUCGCGGCUUAUCAGCUUGUUGGUGGGGUAGUGGCUUACCAAGGCUUUGACGGGUAGCCGGCCUGAGAGGGUGACCGGCCACAUUGGGACUGAGAUACGGCCCAGACUCCUACGGGAGGCAGCAGUGGGGAAUAUUGCACAAUGGGCGGAAGCCUGAUGCAGCAACGCCGCGUGCUGGAUGACGGCCUUCGGGUUGUAAACCGCUUUCGCCUGUGACGAAGCGUGAGUGACGGUAAUGGGUAAAGAAGCACCGGCUAACUACGUG